AAAAGCCCUUGAAGAUCCGUUCAUCCUCGUUCAUCCAAGAUCAAGCCUCGACGGCCCUUGGAUCAAUCGCACAUCCCACAAAUCAACACCUUACGGAGAUCGAAUCAGAGGAUCAAAAUAGAGAGAGAUUGUAACCCAAAAUCAUCAAAUACAAAUAUUUGUUUGUGCACGUCGUUGUUCUUGUCUCUUUCGUUUCAGGAAUUUUCCGUGUUCACAAAUUGGCACGCC
rnacentral:lncRNA from 1 species